UGGUUUAGUGGCGGACGGGUGAGUAACACGUGAGCAACCUACCUUUCAGAGGGGGAUAACAGUUGGAAACGACUGCUAAUACCGCAUAACGUUGUAAAAGGCAUCCAUUUACAACCAAAAGAGAAAUCUGCUGAAAGAUGGGCUCGCGGCCGAUUAGAUAGUAGGCGGGGUAACGGCCCACCUAGUCAACGAUCGGUAGCCGGACUGAGAGGUUGAACGGCCACAUUGGGACUGAGACACGGCCCAGACUCCUACGGAAGGCAGCAG
rnacentral:rRNA from 1 species